AGGAUGAACGCUGGCGGUAUGCUUUACACAUGCAAGUCGAACGCAAGUUUUUAACUUGAGUGGCGGACGGGUGAGUAACACGUGAGAAUUCGCCUUUAGGCGGGGAAUAACUAUAGGAAACCAUAGCUAAUGCCCCAUAUGCUCGCAAGAGUGAAAGGAGCAAUCCAACCCAAAGAGAAGCUACGCGGCUGAUUAGCUAGUUGGUAAGGUAUGGCUUACCAAGGCGACGAUCAGUAGCUGGUUUGAGAGAACGAUCAGCCACACUGGAACUGAGACGACGGUCCAGACUCCUACGGGAGGCAGCAGGUGGGUAUUUCCGCAAGUGGCGCAAGCCUGGACGGAG
rnacentral:rRNA from 1 species